GAUCAUGGCUAAGGAUGAACGCUAGCGACAGGCCUAACACAUGCAAGUCGAGGGGCAACAUGGUAUCAGCUUGCUGAUACCGAUGGCGACCGGCGCACGGGUGAGUAACGCGUAUGUAAUCUACCUGUAACAGAGGGAUAACCCGGAGAAAUCCGGACUAAUACCUCAUAGCACAUAUUAUUCGCAUGAAUUUUAUGUUAAAGAGACUCGGUUACAGAUGAACAUGCGUU
rnacentral:rRNA from 1 species